rnacentral:tRNA from 1 species
GGGCUUAUAGCUAAAAGUGUUAGUUUUGCAAAAACUAAAGUGGGGUAAUCUCCUAAGUCCU